rnacentral:rRNA from 1 species
GACGAACGCUGGCGGCGGGCUUAACACAUGCAAGUCGAACGGUAAGGCUCCAGCUUGCUGGGGUACACGAGUGGCGAACGGGUGAGUAACACGUGGGUGACCUGCCCUGCACUUCGGGAUAAGCCUGGGAAACUGGGUCUAAUACCGGAUAGGACCAUGGUGUGGAUACUGUGGUGGAAAGUUUUUUCGGUGUGGGAUGGGCCCGCGGCCUAUCAGCUUGUUGGUGGGGUAAGGGCCUACCAAGGCGGCGACGGGGAGCCGGCCUGAGAGGGUGGACGGCCACAUUGGGCCUGAGACACGGCCCAGACUCCUACGGGAGGCAGCAGUGGGGAAUAUUGCACAAUGGGCGGAAGCCUGAUGCAGCGACGCCGCGUGGGGGAUGACGGCCUUCGGGUUGUAAACUCCUUUCACCAUCGACGAAGGGUUUCUGACGGUAGAUGGAGAAGAAGCACCGGCUAACUACGUG